GCUCACAUCAUCGUUUUGCUAGUUAAAAAAAAUUUCUGCUGGAUCCCCUCUGAUCUCAGAAGCUAAGCGGGGUCGGGCCGAUUAGUACUUGGAUGGGAGACCACCUAGGAAGACCAGGUGCUGUAGGCA
rnacentral:rRNA from 1 species